rnacentral:rRNA from 1 species
GACGAACGCUGGCGGCGUGCCUAAUACAUGCAAGUCGUACGCAACUUUUACACCGGAGCUUGCUCCAUCGUGAAAGUUGAGUGGCGAACGGGUGAGUAACACGUGGGUAACCUGCCCAUCAGAAGGGGAUAACAUUUGGAAACAGGUGCUAAUACAGUAUAAUAGUUUGAUCCGCAUGGAUCGAAUUUGAAAGGCGCUUUUGCGUCACUGAUGGAUGGACCCGUGGCGUAUUAGCUAGUUGGUGAGGUAAAGGCUUACCAAGGCAAUGAUGCGUAGCGGAACUGAGAGGUGGAUCGGCAACGAUGGGACUGAGACACGGCCCAUACUCCUACGGGAGGCAGCAGUAGGGAAUCUUCCACAAUGGGCGCAAGCCUGAUGGAGCAACACCGCGUGAGUGAAGAAGGGUUUCGGCUCGUAAAACUCUGUUGUUAAAGAAGAACGUAUCUAAGAGUAACUGCUUAGGUAGUGACGGUAAUUAACCAGAAAGCCACGGCUAACUACGUGCCAGCCGCCGCGGUAA